GUCAGUUUAUAUGUUCUUUGAAGAUUUUAUCUUGGUUUCAAUCAAAACUUGGAAAGGAAUAUUAGAGUCGAAGAUAUAAAUGAAAAAUCAGCUUUAGCUACAAAUUCGUGGAGAUGAAAGUCUAGGAACUCACAAAAUGUUGCUAUGUAUUUGUUGGUGAAGGAUAUCGAAAAAAGGGCAAAGGAAAUUCUUUGCUUCAUGUCUCGCAAAAUUAAUACUAUACCAUUUUUCAUUAACAAGACAAAGGACAUGUGUUGCAUAUCGUACGAUCCAUUCAAGCCUUAGCAAGCAGAAGCUAAGAACAAAGCAAAAGCAGAAGCAGCCAAUCGUAAAGUCGAAGGGUUGAGUUCCAACUCG